rnacentral:misc_RNA from 1 species
GAUGAAGAACGUAGUGAAAUGCGAUAAGUAAUGUGAAUUGCAGAAUUCAGUGAAUCAUCGAAUCUUUGAACGCACAUUGCGCCCAUUAGUAUUCUAGUGGGCAUGCCUGUCCGAGCGUCAUUUCAACCCUUAAGCCUAGCUUAGUGUUGGGAAUCUGCUGUAUUGCAGUUCCUCAAAUACAACGGCGGAUCUGUAACAUCCUCUGAGCGUAGUAAAUUUUUAUCUCGCUUUUGUUAGGUGUUGCAGCUCUCAGCCGCUAAACCCCCCAAUUUUUGUGGUCGACCUCGGAUCAGGUAGGAAUACCCGCUGAACUUAAGCAUAUCAAUAAGCGGAGGA